AGUAGUAUUGUUUCAUACAGAAGAAGCAAGGCUCAGAUCUAGCUAAGAUGACUUGUCAACUUCCCUACAUCUUCAUCGAUAGAACCUACCAGCAGCAGGGAAAAAAGCUGCACUUCUUAUGUUACUGUUGGAUCCUCCAUAAAGAUUCACUGUUGUCAGAUACAUAAUUUCUAAUUCUGGGAAUAAUAUGAUGCCCUGAUGUUAGCACUAAAGUGAAAAUGCAUACUCUGGCUUUGUAGUUUCUUGGACUAAAAAGCAACUGACUUGCUCAUGUAGGACUUGUUAGGUGUUAGUUAUUGAUUAUAUCAUGUUUAUUCUGUCUCUUCCUUUAAGACCACUGUGGUAUUUUGUGCUGCACUCUGAUGCUUUAGCUCCUUACAGCUGAACUGGAGAUGCAGGAAAACUGCCAUACCUAAAUAACACAAGUGCAGCAACUUCAGUGCCUGCUCAGCAGCCUUCAGUAUCCAGUAUCCAGAAGCUGACUCUUACUCACUCCAUCCGUGGAUGCAUGUGAGCCAGCCAGGCACAGUGUCAGGACUCAGUGGGCGUUAGACAGCACUGAUGGGAUUGCUGCUGUGCAGGGGAGCGGAAGAACUGCCUUGUUGCACCAUGUACGAGUGUUCUUACACAGCUCUGAGCUUUCACAAAUGCAGUGUCCAGGCCAAAAAGACUUGCUUUCUGGCAACUUGUCUACCACCUGCAGCUGUCCUACUUGGGGAUAAAGGUGUGGUAGAUUUGUUUCUGAACGUGCCCUGGCUUUAUGAGGGGUCUCUCCUGCUUUUUCAAGCCCUUCCAGAAGUCUGAAUGGGAAAAAGGUGCCUUGAGAGGAGAGGAGUGAGCUGUGUGAGUUAAUGGGAGCUAGCAGGGAUGCCUGCAAGAAUACACCAUCACAUAUGAUGGGAAACCAACUAGACCAAUGGUUGCAGCUGCCCCACAUUCAAGAUAUUUGGGAACAGAGAGGGUGUUUGAAGUACUUAGUUCUUCUGCUGUGCAGAAUUCAUACUAAAUUUGACAGGGCCUGUGCCUUGAUUUGAUGAUACCGUUCUCCUAAAAGGAAGAAGCAAAUUGAUUGCUUGUUAACAGAAUGCUCUAAAUUAACCUCAGGCCUGGGCCUGGCCCUGCAAACCUUUGCAUGACUGUGAUUAUUAUUUAUGCUGUAUGAUUGCAUUGAAUACCGCUGACUGUUCAAUAUAUUGGCCUGGCACAGCUGCGCUGAAAUUUUAGUUGUGGCUUUCGGUUGUUGGAAAUGAAAUUUUUGAAGCUGUUUAGGUGUUUGGAUUUUGAAUACCCCAUUAAGCACCUACUUGACUAUUUAAAUGCCUAGAUGUCUUUGUACAUCUAGUGUUGCCAUAAUGCAAAAAAAAAGGAAAUGAUAUAGAAGGUUUGCUGGGUCAGGCCUCUAGUUUCAUAUCCCAGCAGUGAUAACUAGGUAUAUACACCGUAGUUCACCGCAGACGUCUCUUUUGCUUGAGGAAUCUUGAUGGAGACUUUUACAUAGUAGAGAUAAAAAUACUGCAAACAUACAUCCUGCAUUAGCCUUUAUAUAUUUUAUAGCUGUACUGUUCUAGUGUGGUAAACUGAGCUGAGCAAUCACAUUUUUUCAAUUAUCCUCAAGAACAGGAAAUCCUUAUCACCUCUGUGUUUCUUUCUCCCACUACUGCAGCAUUGGUCUUGAAAUUGUCACCACAGCUCAAAAUCCUCAUUCUGUAAAUUAAACUGUGAUUUAAAAAAAUUUUACAGUACAGCCUCCUCAUAAAACUCCACAAGUCUUUUACUGAUGUGACUCACUCAAUUACUCAUGUGGGCAGACGUUCAGAUAAUAAAAGUGGUUAAUGGAAAGCUAUGAGAAAUACUGCUGGUUCCUGAGGAGGCAGCCAGGGGGAAGGCUACUGUGGGUAUUUUAUCCUAAGAGCUGCUGAAUUCACUGAGCUCCCAGCCAUUUUUUUAAGAUAAGGAUUUCUCCGUUCUGCUUUUUCCUUUGUAUAAGAACAGCUUGAGAAAUCAAACUGGCAACAGAGAAGCAAAAGCACACCAGCUGUACAUGUUUGCUCUUCUGCUCCUCUUCCUACAUAUUAGGGAUGAUAGCCAGCCUGUGCCCUGAAAAAAUCUCUUUAUCCUAGUGAUGUAUGUACCUAAACAACACUCAGUACUCUAAUGAGCUCUGGAUUCCUGAAUCAAGGAGUGGAACUAACAAGUAGCUAAAUAACCCCUUUGUUUGGAGGUGUCACAUAUACUGACAAGGAUCAGAUUUUUCUGGAAUUAAUAAUAGUGUCUUGACUUUGGUGUGCAAUAGGUCAGGUAAUACAUCUAGAAAGCAGGUUUCAAUGACAUUUCAGUGAGUGCACAUUAGAGGAAUAUGGCACAUUUUGAAGUUGGUGAGGCAGAAAGGUACUGAAGAGUAGUAAGGUACCACUUAGAUGUGAGAGCCCCCUUACAAAAUGAAAUUAUACAUGUAUGAUGACUUCAAAGAGACUUAGAAUUAAGCCAAAACUGGAACUAGCAUAAGUGGACCAACUGAUUAGAGCUAAGGCCUAGCUGGCAUUUGCAAAACAACCAGAGCAGUUAACUCUUGGUUGUGUGGCUCUGAGGCUGCUAGAUUUGCCUACAAAUGGCUGUGUGAGCCCAUUCCAACAACAGUGCUGGAUAUAGAAAGAGAGAGGACAUGAGGAUAUGCUCAUUUUUCAUGCAAAAUGAGCUGCAGGGAGAAUAUGGCUUGACUUGUAAAAUAGAGCUUCUGGCACAGAGAAGCAGUGCAUGGAUGUUGAGGCUCUGGAUCAGAGAAAGUAAGCUGUCAAAUUAUAUUUAGCGACUACAUGCUGCAGGAAAGCGCAGAGAGGGAAGGAGGGAACUAUUGCGUAGCUGGGCCCCAUGGGUAGUGAGCACACAGAGCAGGGAAUGAGGCUGUUCAGAGAGGAUGAAUUGCCUUGGUGUUCCUGAUUCAAAGAAAUCUCUGUGUGAGGCCAGGGAUCUGCACAGAUUUGUAUGACUACUUUGAUCAGCAGAACUCUGCUUUAUUUAUCCCCAGACUCCAUCAGGUGAAGAGUGACCAACUUGUGGCCUUCCAGACAUUCCCUCUGCCCUCACCCUAGGGAUGUUUCCCACAGCAAUGCCAUUCCCAGCUGCGGAAGCAGUAGUCUGAUGGGGGCUCUUGGAACCAAUAUCUCAAACUGCUGUACAGCCCAGCUGCACACCUGGCUCAGUCCCAACCCAUCAGAAGCUUGUUAGCUAAGGUUGGCAUCUGCAAAAUAGGUUACCCUGCUCCAUUUGAAUUCAGGGGUGUGAGUGCUCCAUUGUGUUCCCUGGAAAGCCCAGUUCUAAAGAGAUGAAGGUGGAAAAAAAGUCCUUAUACCUGUAUGAGAUAGAUCAAACCUUGUAUGCUGACAUGUGACAGUUGAUCAUUCGGGUCCUGUCUUAUACUCCAGGGUGCAGAGAUUGUGACUGACUAGUUUAUAGCAGGAUGGGUACAGCUUAGGCUCUAAUUCUUUCCUGCUAAAAGCUGACUUGUAUGAUUCAGAAAUGUCUUUGCCUUUGAAAUAAAUAAGGCCUUUAAGCUCCCUCUCAGAGGAGACUGUGGGGAGGCCUGGCUGCCUUCUCUGCAUAAAUAUUUCUGUCAAACUGGAUUCAGGCUGAGGUGGGUGAAACUGCUGCACCAACUGGGAGCCAUCGACUUCCAUCUCCUGUUAGGCACUACUGCAUCAUUGAGAUUUGUGUUGUUACUGUACUGUCAAAAAUAGCUGUGAGUGAGAGAAAGGGCUGAAAUGCUCCCAUGUGUUCACCAAGCAGGAGGGCAGAGCAGUUAGGAGAAGGAGAGAGAUGCAGAUUGUGAUAGUGAACAGAAGAUGUGCAAGGAGGAACUGCCUUCACAGUCUCAUGAAAGGGUGGCCAUGAUGCGUGAUGGAAGGAGGAAGGAUGACUUCACAGAUGUAAUUUAUUAUACUUCCUAUGCAAGGGAGUUAUGCUAGUUCCAGAAAGAACACACAUUGGUUUGGUGGCUCCUAAGAAUAUGCAAGGGAGAAACAAAGACCUCAGAGAAUGGUUCUACCUGUUCUAGCUGCUGCAGAUCAAACUUGAAAAUGUGAAAAAAGCAUCAGUAGGUGCUUUGGAUCAUGAGACUGGCAAAGGCUGGCCAUCCCAGCAGAGGCAGAUCCAGACACUGUGAAGUGAGCAUGAAGGCAUGACUGUGUCUUUGUUGAGGCAGUGAAGAUACAUACUUCAGUUACAGAUUAUUUUCUUCACUCACCCAGUUUUCCUUCCCUCUCUCCACUAAAUGUUACCUUUCAGCUAAAGGGCCGAUAUAUAUGGUCAGUACACAUGACCAGAACUUUGGUGUCAGAGUCCUUUGUCCUUUAUACAGCAGCAAAUCUGCUCCAUGUGAUGGAACAGCACAGGGAUUUUUUCUUUUGUUUCUACUGUUUACAAAAUGUGGGGAAAAAAAAGUUAAAGGAAAAAUGGUUAUAAAACUAGAGCAGAGUUAUAGAAAUGUGUGAACUGAAAACCUGCAGGAGGAUCUGUUUGAGAUCUGACCUGGUCAUUUGUCUAAAGAGGAUGUUUACUCACGCCACCUGAUGUGGUGACUGUGCUGUCCAGUUCUCCAUAGAGCAAAGUAAAUGGAAGAGGCUUUUGGCUGUGAUUUCUUACUGUGGUGAAAAAAUAGGUGGCCUUUGAACUACCCCAUUAUUACUUUUCUCUAAUAAAGAAUUGGUGAUUCAAACUGUAUAUGGGACACCCACGCAGAGUUCCCAGCUGGAAGAUUGCACAUGACCAAAGGGUUGGUUCAUCUGUGCAAACUAUUGUGAGGAGGGAACUCCCUUGGGUGAUGGGCAGAGGUAAAAACCUAAUGCAUGAAAGAGAACUUGGAAGAAUAGUGGUCUCACUGUGCUUUUGAAUCUUGACCUCCAAUAUAAACUCUCUAGACUGCUUGCUUUUCUAUUUUCUAGUGACUGUUUGAACAGCACCUUUAGGUGGAAAAUACGUUUGCUUCUCAGUCUUAAAGAUACUGAUCUAAGGGAAAAUCUUGCACAAAAGGAUUGAGGAAAAGUUAGAAAAGUUAAAAUGUGUAAUAAAUUAGGGCUGAGAGAAUAUAAAAAAAUAGGUUAGCACAUCACUUGACAGAUGGGAAGUCAUUUAUGUAAAUUUAGGGAAGUAGUGGUUGGAUUCAAUUGGUCUAAUUUCAACGCUAUUUCUAAUUAUUUUUGGUAUGUAUACAGAGGAUUAUAUGAUGACCAUUAUUCUGACAGGAAGGCUCUUCAUAUUUAAAUUUAAAUCUACAAAUUAUUACCCUAUUAAAAUGUAAACAUGCUGUGAUAACAAGCACCUGAUUAUGCAGACAGGUUAGUCCAGCUACUCUGGUGAACAGCUGUGUGCAUGUAUUUCAGAUAAUGCUUUUUUUUAAAGCCUAAAAACCACAAGCAAGCCAUUGAGAGGUCAAGAGAUGUCUGACCCACAGGUGGGAGCUGCCUGUAAGGAGGUUUGCUGGCACUGAGUGCAGAUCUGAGAGCAGAUGGGCUCUCACAGGUUUCCACUGAAAGCAGGCCCUGGCGGCACCCAAAAGUACAGAGAAGAUGACACAAUUAACAAUUCCCCCUCCCUACAGUCUGGUGCUGCUAAUCCCAAGUUAAAACUCCUAACAGCAUCUUUGGAGAACCUUCCUCUU